rnacentral:tRNA from 2 species
GAGGUGGCAGGAGAUGGUUCUGCGUGUGGCUUGAAACCAUGAGGUGGGGGUUCAAUUCCCCCCUUCCUUG